GCGGCCUGAUUGGAGAGCCAGCCACUCGCAGCCUGGUGGAGGACGCGACGCUGCCUGGGUGCGCACGGGUGCUGCGGAGGGCCAGGGCCCGCUCUGGCUCCCAUCUCUGGUCGGUGCUCCGGGGCAGAACCAUCUCCCCACCCUCGGCCGCAGUUCCCUCCUCUGCCCGCUUCCAAGCGCUGCUGAAGCAUGAAUCAUGACGGCGGUGCCCGUGGAAGCCCUGGGCAGGCUCCCAAGCUCUGCACCCAUGUUGGCAAUAUUUGAAGUUUAAUUCUUAUGCUCCGUGGCCCAGCUUGUAAAGAGUGGGGGAUGUUUAACCUAACCGUUUCUGAAAAACGCCCCAAACUGAAUUGCCCGGAUGAGAGGCGGUUUUGCGUGGGUGCCUCGUUUCUGCUUAGGGGCGAGCUUCUGAGGUCACCCCCGCUUACCCGGGUCCCACGUCCCUGUGCAUUCGUUCCGCAGAUGCGCACUGCUGCUCCGGCCCCGUGUCAGGUGCUGGUCCCCACCUCCAGGCAGCCUGAGGUCUUCGGAAGACAGACCGUGGGAAGGAAGCUGGAGUUCCCAGGCGUGGCAUUUCUCACUAGGAUGAACAGGAGCACCUUUUCUCCCAGCAGAGCAGAAACGCACCUAGGCCAGCGGGCAGCUCUCUGCAUCCUCAGAUAGGGGGGUGCGGUGGGGGUUGAGGCUGGGGGAGGGAGUGGGAUGCCUCUGGGUAAUAGGAGGGUGUCUCCGGGAAGGGUCAGAACUUCCCACCUCCCCGGGGACGCCUAGAAAUGUGCCUGGCUUGAGGGCUGCGCCUCUCUUUCCUGAGCUCAGAGGCCUUCCCGGGAGAGCACACUAUCUUAGCAGAGAUGCCAACGUGGAGCUCCAGCACCCUUGUUAAGCAGUUACACUGAGGAAGAGGGGCUCAGGCUGGCGCUGGGCUGGAAAUCAGACACUCCAGAUGGCAGACCUGUCCAAGAAGAUGGUGUCACACACUGAGAUGGGGGCAGUGAAUGUCAUCAGAGCCCUGCAGCUCCUCCCCUCCAAGCCUGGCAGUGGGGUUGUCAAAGAAGGCUUCCUAGAGGAGGUGACCUCUGAGCUGCAUUUGAAGAGUGACAGAAGUUUUUAGGAAGCGAGAGGCCCCUGUUGGUUGUGCUCCCUGGGGUGGGGGUGGACUUGUCCUGGAGGCAUGGGGAGCCAGAGGAAGACCCAAAACCGGGAUGUGGCGGUGGUCGGAUGUAGAUUUUUGAGAGAUCUGGCUCUCCCAGCAGCUGCACAGCCAUGUGGGUCUCCUCCUGACCACAAGGGGUUCUCAUCUUUUGAGGAGCACUUUGGGGGGAUGCAUCCAGCGUCCUGGCUCCACUCAACACUUCAUGUGUUCACAAGCAAGGCCAGCCAGCAUGAGGGAUUUGGAAGAAAAGGACCCAGAGGUCCUGGGGGCCCAAUGCACACAGGACGUCCCACUGCCCAGGCCGCAGCUCUUCAGCCAGGCCAGGCAGGAGACAUCUAGAGCGCCUGGCGGGCCAAGUGACUCAGGCCCCUGGGGAUGUUUGGCCCGCCUUUUGACCUCAGGCAGCAGGCAUCACACUGCCGGCAUAACCCAGGAGGAGGAAGGAGGAAGAGCCUCUCCCGUGGGUCCUGGGCCCAGAGCUGAGGGCGGCGGAGGGCUGGGUCCCUGCGGAGUCCUUGGGAUAGAGAGCCCGGGCUUCAAGGCGCACUGAAUGUUGUCCUGCUUGUGUGCACCAGAGGCCGCAGGGAUGGAGCUGUUUGUAAAGAGCUGGAGAGGCCUCUCACCCCAACACUGAAAAUUAAGCUUGACAAACUGCUCCCAACUGUCCUGUAACAGGCAGAACAGCACGCGCCCGGAAAGACUGCCUAGCGGGUGAGCCGCUGACAGCCAGGCCUGGCUCGGCGGGACCAGGAGGGGUGACGGGAGGGCACUGUGGGGAGCCAGGUGGUCCUGAUGGGGGAUGCGGGCAUGGAGGAGGGGUGGGGCGUCUCAGAAGGGAAGCCACGUGGAAGCAGAGCAUCCUGAGGCUGCCGAGGUGUACUUGCCGUCAUCCCACCCACAAUGAGCAGGGUCCAGAGGGAAAGCUUGGUCCAGCCAGGGCCACAACCACAGGCCGUUGGGUCCUAGGACCCCUGUCAGGAGGAGGAAUUUGGGUGCACACCUGCUGGGCAAGGUGCUCUGUGCUCCACCAGUGGCCUCAGCUCAGGUAGAUGGUUGCCUGUCUCUUUGAACCAGCUCCCUGCAUACACAAGCAUGCGUGCACAUGCACACGAAUCCAUACAUGCACACACACAUCCAUGUACACACAUAUCCGUGUGCAUCUAUGCCUGCACACUCAUCCGCACACAGACAUCCACAAAUCUGUACUGUUCGGGCACACGCCCACAUACAUGACACAGCACAUGCACACGAGUACCAUCUGUACACAGGAUGUGUGUGCAUGCACGUAUGUGCACCUGCAAGCAGACACGUGUGCACGCCCCACACGCUAUGCACAUGCAUGUAUCUGCCCACAUAUACUAAGCACUCACACACCCAUACAUAUGCAUACAAUCACACACACAGGCUAUGUGCACACGUGUGUGAGUCUGUGUGCACACCUCACUUCUGCAUGUCGCUGCACACACCCACUCGUGCACCCGCACGCAUGCACACACCCACACAUGCGCACGUGCCUGGGGCCACGCUCAGCCUCCCAGGCUGCAGGGAGGUGGGGUUUCUGCCAGCCCAUGGUGGGCAGCUCUUCCCAGGUUUCAGGCUGGGUUCUGCCUUGGCCUGCUCACCUCCACUGGGUCUCCUGUGUGCCCCUCAGGGUGGGCCGUCACUGGACCAUGUCUCUGUCUGCAGUGGGCUCUUGUGGACAAGCCAUUUCUUUGUCCCAUUGUCUGGUGCGGGCCUGGCUCACAGCUCACAGUAGGGGCUCAGUCAAAGUGUGGUGGAGGGAUGGGUGGCUGGGAACCCUGCGAAGGGCCUGCUGUCUUCCAUCCUCCCCAGCUACGCUGAUGCCAGCAGUGUAGCCGGUGCAGGCGGGGCCCGGCAGAGCAUGGCGGUGCCUGAAUGAGCCACUCUUGCUAGACCCAGCAUCCCCACCCAGCAUCCUCUUUUGCUUCUGUUCUGUGGAGGUUGUGGACUUAAACUCCCACUUAUUCCCUUACUUGCCAUCUGGCAGCCUGAGAACCUCCUGCCUCCCUGGGCCUCAGUUUUCCCAUCUGUCAAGUGGGGCUAUUGACUAGAUUGUUCUAAGAUCUGUGCUGGCUUUGCCCCCCCUUGGCUUGGAGCUCCUGGAGCUGAGCUUCAUGUCCACCUGCUGUCUUUGCCCUCAGUCUGUCCCUGGAGAGGGGGAAGAGCCUGGAGUCCCAGGAAGAGCCCUCCACUUGGUUGGCUGGUGUGGGAACAGAGGCGGGCAGGCCUGGCUUGCCAGACUCCAUACCAAGGGACUUGUUUUCUCAGCUGGGCUGAAGGUAUUUUUUUUCCUGAAAUUUAUUUGAAAUUUCAUCUUUAAAGAUGGGGCAGGGAAAAAUGAGGCUUGCUCCUCUCCCUCCCCCUGUGCCCCAAAGACUUCUAGAACCACUGUGUCUUGCCAGAGUGUGGCUGGGACCCACCGGCCCAGGCCUGGCUCUCCUGGACUAACCUGCAGACUGAAUCCAUUGCAAUAUUGAUCACAUUGAUGGGUUUGCACAGCUGAGUUCUUCCAGAGCUGCCGGAAGUCCCUCUGGGGAAAGCAGGGCUUGGGGGAUGGUCCUGGACUGGCAGUGACUGUAGUGGGUUAAAGCAGUGGGCCUUGUUGAGCACCAGCUGCGAACCCCGCUCAGCCCAGGGCCCUCUGGGGUUCAAGCUUGUACCCCCCCUCCGCCUGUCCCGGCUGCCUUCUCAGGGGUCCCCUCUGCCUACCAGCUCUGGGCCUGACUGGUCCUCCCUCAGGGGCUUGCUGCUUCCCGGAUGCCUGAGCCUGGCGUUUGAGGCCCCUCGGGGCCUGGCCUUGACCUGGACUCUGGGCUCGGGCUGACCAGGUGUCCCCACAUGACCUCAGGAAGCCGCCUUCACCUUCCGAGCCAGCAUGGCCUGUGGAUGGGGAUAACGGAGCCCAUUCUGUAUGGCAGAUGUGCAGGUUCUCCAGGAUGAUGUGUGCAGAACUCGUAGCCUGGGGUGUCCAGACGUGCUUCUGCCUCCGUUGUCACCCCCUGGGCCUGGAACGCCUGCUCCUGCCUCUGCCUGUCACCCACCUGAGCAGGUGGGAGGCUCGGCUCCAUGCCCCUCCAUGCCAGGCUCAUCCUCAGAACCCCACACAGGGUUCCAUGGCCCCAGGCAGCCAUGUGGCGUCUCCUGGAGUCACUUCCCUGAGAAGUGUCACCUUACAGCUUCUCCUCUGGUCACCCGCCGGCCCUUGGCACCCCUGCCCAUCAGCAGUGCUCAUGGAAGCCACCAUUAGGCCAGGUCCUGUCCUUCACAGUCCGUGGGUGGUGGGCCCGCCUCACUCUUUGCGUCCCUUCCGGGUGUGUGCUGUGUGGUUGUCCCAUCCUGUAGAUGCGGGUGGAGGCCUGGGUUGCUGAAGAUCCCAUGUGGGUACGAGCCCAGGCCAGCGUGGUCCCCUGUCCCACUGUCAUCAUGCUGCCUCCCGUCUCCUCCCGGUAACGUGAGGACUCAGUUUUCAUCCGGCAGACAUCUGGGGGGCACCUCCUCUGUGCUGAGUGUGGGCAGUGCCUGGCACCACUCAGGCCCAGCCGAGGGUGUGAGGCCUAGUCCCUGACCUCCGGGGAGAUGCCAGGAGAUGGAAGAAGGGGCUUCUGACCUGCUCGGGGGCUCAGGGAGAACUUUCUAGAAGGAGUAGGGGCUCUGCUCAGACUGGAGGGUAAGGAGGCAGCAGCCUGUCCAAAAGGUUCCACACCAGCCAUGUGCCCAGUGGCCAGCACUCACCUCCUCCUUGCCCCCUGCAGUAGGGGAGACUCUCAGGUGGCCCCCAGUUUCCAGGCCCUUGGAUAGCCCCUCCUCCUGAGUCUGAAUACUGUGGGGGCAUCACUGCCCUGACAAAGCCCCUAACCAGUUGGCUUUGAGUUAAUCAAAGGAGAUUAUCCAGGGUGGGCCUGACCCGAUCAGGUGACCCUUUAGAAGGCGAUGAAGCAUCAAAAGUGCCUUCCUGCUGGCCAUGAAAAUGCAGCAUUGAUGUGAGUGGCAGCUGCAGGGGAAGGACCUGAAUGUGGUCUUUAGGAGUGGCGAGUGGUCCCUGGCUUCAGCCACACAGCCUUAGGGAACUGAAUGCUACUGACAGCUGUGUGAGCCUAGAGGGGGUCCCUGGGCCUCAGAUGAGAACAUGGCCUCAGCUGACACCUUCAUUUCAGCCUCCACACCAUGAGUAUAGGGGUCAGUUCACCUGCACAGGACUCCUGGUCCAUGGAAACUGAGAUAGUAAAUGUGUGUUGUUUUAUGCUGGUAAAGUUGUGGUACUUUGUUAUGCAGCCUAGGUGACUGAUACACCUGCAUACCUGGUUUGUUCUGGUGGAGGAGCAGUGAUGUGCCCAGGAAAUGGGGGACCCCUUCCCAACCCUGGGGGAAGAUCAUGAUGCCUCUAAGCCUAUCUUAAGGUAGACCCAUUUCCCUUCCCCAGUGACUGGAGGAGAGGUCACAUGACCAAGUCCCAACCAAUAAAACCUCUGUGAUGAAAAGUGAGAAAUGUGCGAGAAGACUCACUGGCUGCCUUCCUGUUUGGUCAUGUGUGUGUGAGGAUGUGACACCUGGAGCUGCAGCAGCUCUCUUAGGGUUAGGAGGAGCUGAAGAUGAAGGCGACAGGAGGAAAGAGUCUGUGUCCCUGACGAUGUUGUCCUUGAGCUUCCAAAGGAACCCAUGCUGGAGCCAGCCUUUCGCCAGACUUCCCGCCAAGGGGGACACCAGUGACCUCAUUGUUUAAGGCCUUUGGGGAGGAGGGUUCCGUAACUCGCAACCGGACACAUCCUAGCUGAUUUGCUGUCCUCAGCCCUAUCCUGCACCCUUGGAGAAUCAUUGUGCCAGUCUGUGGUGGGAAAACUCACACACACACACACGACAGCCAGACCCUGUGGCUCGGCAGCCUUACAUCACAAAAGGGACUUCACUGAUGGGAUUAAGCUAAGGAUUUGAGAUGGGGGAUUAUCCUGGAUUCUGAGUGAACCCUAAGUGCAACCACAAGGGUCCUUCUAGGUGAGAGAGGCUAGGGGGUCAGAGUUAAAGGAGAUGUGAUAACGGAAGCAGGGGGCGGGGUAAUGCACGGAGCGGGCCACGAGCUCGGGAUGUGGGCGCCUCUAGAAGCUGGAAAAGAUGAGAGAGAGUCUUUCCCAGAACCCCCAAGGGGAACCAACCCCACUAGGCCAUUUUACACCUCUGGACUCGGAACUGUAAGAUAAUAAAUUUGUUGUUAGAAGCU